rnacentral:siRNA from 1 species
UGGGCCUGGUUAUACGAUUGGCCA